CCUACGGGAGGCAGCAGUGAGGAAUAUUGGUCAAUGGGCGGAAGCCUGAACCAGCCAAGUAGCGUGCAGGAUGACGGCCCUACGGGUUGUAAACUGCUUUUAUACGGGAAUAACGCGCCUUACGUGUAGGGCUUUGCAUGUACCGUAUGAAUAAGGACCGGCUAAUUCCGUGCCAGCAGCCGCGGUAAUACGGAAGGUCCGGGCGUUAUCCGGAUUUAUUGGGUGUAAAGGGAGCGUAGGCCGCAUGUCAAGCGUGCUGUGAAAUGUUCUGGCUUAACCCGGACCUUGCAGCGCGUACUGGCGUGGUUGAGGCCACGGAAGGCAGGCGGAAUUCGUCGUGUAGCGGUGAAAUGCUUAGAUAUGACGAAGAACCCCGAUUGCGAAGGCAGCUUGCUGCAGCGGAACGGACGCUGAUGCUCGAAAGCGCGGGUAUCGAACAGGAUUAGAUACCCGUGUAGUC
rnacentral:rRNA from 1 species